rnacentral:rRNA from 1 species
UACGUAGGGGGCGAGCGUUGUCCGGAUUCAUUGGGCGUAAAGCGCGCGUAGGCGGCCCGGCAAGUCGGCCGUGAAAUCUCCCGGCUCAACCGGGAGGGGUCGGGCGAGACUGCCGCGCUGGAGGCGGGCAGAGGGCGGUGGAAUUCCGGGUGUAGUGGUGGAAUGCGUAGAGCUCCGGAGGAACACCAGUGGCGAAGGCGGCCGCCUGGGCCCGGCCUGACGCUGAGGCGCGAAAGCGUGGGGAGCGAUCCGGAUUAGAAACCCCCGUAGUCC